CGGAGGGUGCAAGCGUUAUCCGGAUUCACUGGGUUUAAAGGGUGCGUAGGUGGGCAGGUAAGUCCGUGGUGAAAUCCCUGAGCUUAACUCGGGAACUGCCAUGGAUACUAUUUGUCUUGAAUAUUGUGGAGGUAAGCGGAAUAUGUCAUGUAGCGGUGAAAUGCUUAGAUAUGACAUAGAACACCAAUUGCGAAGGCAGCUUACUACACAGUUAUUGACACUGAGGCACGAAAGCGUGGGGAUCAAACAGGAUUAGAUACCCUGGUAGUCCACGCCCUAAACGAUGAUUACUCGACAUCAGCGAUACACUGUUGGUGUCUGAGCGAAAGCAUUAAGUAAUCCACCUGGGAAGUACGAUCGCAAGAUUG
rnacentral:rRNA from 1 species